ACUAGCUCAGUCGGUAGAGCACCUGACUUUUAAUCAGGUUGUCGGGGGUUCGAAUCCCCC
rnacentral:tRNA from 4 species